rnacentral:rRNA from 1 species
GAUGAACGCCGGCGGCGUGCCUAAUACAUGCAAGUCGAGCGAAUGGAUUAAGAGCUUGCUCUUAUGAAGUUAGCGGCGGACGGGUGAGUAACACGUGGGUAACCUGCCCAUAAGACUGGGAUAACUCCGGGAAACCGGGGCUAAUACCGGAUAACAUUUUGAACCGCAUGGUUCGAAAUUGAAAGGCGGCUUCGGCUGUCACUUAUGGAUGGACCCGCGUCGCAUUAGCUAGUUGGUGAGGUAACGGCUCACCAAGGCAACGAUGCGUAGCCGACCGGAGAGGUGGGUCGGCCACACUGGGACUGAGACACGGCCCAGACUCCUACGGGAGGCAGCAGUAGGGAAUCUUCCGCAAUGGACGAAAGUCUGACGGAGCAACGCCGCGUGAGUGAUGAAGGCUUUCGGGUCGUAAAACUCUGUUGUUAGGGAAGAACAAGUGCUAGUUGAAUAAGCUGGCACCUUGACGGUACCUAACCAGAAAGCCACGGCUAACUACGUGCCAGCCGCCGCAGUAA